rnacentral:rRNA from 1 species
AACCGUCGUUCAGAGUUCAUUGGAGGGCAGUCUGGUGCCAGCAGCCGCGGUAAUUCCAGCUCCAAUAGCGUAUAUUAAAGUUGUUGCAGUUAAGAAGCUCGUAGUUGAAUUUCUGCCUUGUCGUUAAAUUCGCUUCCGAGCGUUUUUUUAUUGACUUGGCAUCUUCUGGAUUUGGUUCCCUUCGGGGUUCUAUUUUCCGGGAUUUACUUUGAGAAAACUAGAGUGUUUCAAACAGGCAUUUGCCUUGAAUACUACAGCAUGGAAUAAUGAAGUAGGACUUUGGUUCUAUUUUGUUGGUUAUUGAGCCAGAGUAAUGGUUAAUAGGAGCAGUUGGGGGCAUUCGUAUUUAACUGUCAGAGGUGAAAUUCUUAGAUUUGUUAAAGACGAACUACUGCGAAAGCAUUUGCCAAGGAUGUUUUCAUUAAUCAAGAACGAAAGU